GAACAUCUGAGUAUUAUUGGUAAAAUCAAGGGAUCUGUACUUCUAGGACAGCACACACCCGUCUCGUAAAAGAAGGGUGUCAGUGUGUAGCCAGGAGUGCACUUGUCCUACUGUUAUCAGACCUGGGACUGAUUGCAGGUGCUUUGGGCAUUGCCAUAGGCAGCAGGAAGUAAGCACUGAGUGUGGAGGCAUAUUCAGGGAUCAGCUCAAAGGGAUGCUGGAAGACUUGGGCUGCUCACACUGAAGAGAAGGGGUGGAAUGUUGGAAGCAUUUCUCAUGGCAUUUGGAAUAUCAGUUAGCUACUUUCAGGUGGGGAGAGAAGUCAGUGGGUGCAUUUAUGUUAGUGAUUUAAUGUACAGUAGAUUUUGAGUGUAAUCUUCAGUACACACAGAGCUCAGUGUGUUGCUCCAAAGCACAUUGUUGCAUGUGAAAUGGUUCCCCUGCACGUGGAACGCAGCAGCACCAACAGAGUAACCCAGUAACAGACCCCGCAGCUUCAGAAAGGUUAGUUUAAAGGAGGCUGAGAUCAGAUGGUUGGCUCUGUGCUUCCAGGUGUGGUUGGUCAGAAAUGAAGGGUGGAGUACAGCGGUUAAUCAUCACAAUUCAUCAUCAUUAUGAAGGAUGGUUUCAUGACACUCUUCGAGCUCUGCAGCCUGGCUCAGCCUUCAGCACAUAGCUACAGAACAGUCAUCUGAAGUCCUGCUCUGCGAAUGUUCCUCCACGACUGAGCUUAGCAGCUUCAGUUCCGACAUUAGGAGGCAACAUCCCUCACUGCAGCAGACCCAGAGCGGAAAACAUACACCUACUCUUACCACCAGAUCCUGCUUCUGCACCACUGCGUGUGCAUUCCUACAAGGGCAAUUAUAGUCGGAUUGAAAUGGAAACGGUGCUGCCUUUACGGUGUUCUCAUCAGUGCAUAGGCCAAGAGUUUGCCAUUUGGGAUGGACAGACGGAAGCACACAGGUCAGAAGGGGACUUUGCAGCCUCCACAUGAGGCCUGCAUGCAAAGGGGCAACCAGGAGGGCUGGCACAUGCCCCAUGCUCAGAAAUGCCAGUUGGCACAACCAUUCUGAUAAACACCCGUGUGACAAGCACACGUUGAUGUAUGUCCUUAGUUUUCAUGGUUCUGUAUUUGAGACGGCGUAUUUUCCUAAAGAAAACAACGUCUCCAGGCAAUGGUAACCCUAAGGAGGGUGAUGCUCAGGGCGCAUAUUCCAGGAGCGCUCACUGCUGAGCGUAUCACAGCAACAUCUCCUCAGAGCUGCCCGUCUUUCUACAAGAGGAGAGCUCAGCCAAGGGUGGGUAGGAAGGAGCAGACGGCCCACGCCAGGCGCGCAGGUGGGGUCUGGUGUAUUCAGCGCCGCGACUGGAAAGCGGCGUUGGAGACGUGCGGCGCUCGAUCUGAGCGGGAUGCGCUGAAGCCUCGCCCUGCAGCGCCUUUCAGGGGUCCGUACUGCAGUCCAACCAGCUCCCGUCCCCGACCUCCUCCCACAUCGGCCGCUGACGGGAACCGGCCGCCCCACUCCCCUGCCCCGGGUGCGUCGCGGCGCGGGGCGGGCAGGGCAGGGCAGGGCGGCUCGGGGAGCGCCGGAGACGCGGCCGUGCCGCGGCCGGGGGCGGGCGGCGCCUGGGGGUGACGGGCGGGUCUAGGCCACAGCCGAGUGCGCACGCGUCAGUUCCGGCGGGGAGCGCGGCGCGGCGCGUGGGUAGGAAACGCCGCGGCGGCGGGGGAGCGGAAAAUGGCGGCGGCCGCGCAGCUCACGGAUGAGGAGCUCUUCUCGGAGCUGCGGCGCUUCGGCUUCUCUCCGGGGCCGGUCACCGAGAGCACUCGGCCCGUCUACCUGAAGAAGCUGAAGAAGCUGCGCGAGGAGGAGCGGGCCGGGGCCCGCGGCGGCGCCAACAAGACCCGGAACAGCAACAACAAUAACACGGCGGCCGGAGGCGGCGGCGCCGGGAGAGCGGGCGCGGGCGGGCGGCUGGCGGGCGCCGAGCACCCCUACCUCCCCGGGGCCGCCGGCGGCGGGCGGAGCCGCGCAGCACCCCCUGCCGGGGGCGGCAAAGUGCUGCUGGGCUUCAGCUCGGACGAGUCGGACGCGGAGGCCGGCCCUCGCGGCCAGGCCGGCGGCAGGAGGGAGCGGGCUUCGCCCCUCUUCCGCGGCGCGAGGCCCGGCGGCGGCACGGCGCCCCCGGAGGAGGCGGCCCGGCGGAAGCCCGGCGCCUGGUGGGGGGCGGCGGCGGCGGCCCGCAGAGCGGCUUCGGGCGCCUGGGAGCGCGGGGACGGCGGCGAGGAGGAGGGCGACGACGCGGAGGAGGAGGAGAAGGGCGAGCAGCGGCGGUGGAAGAACCGGACCGUGAACGGCAGCCGGCUGCUCGCCUGCGGCGGGGACAAGUACUCCGACUCGGAGGAAGAGGAGGCGGCGGCCCGGCAGCAGGUACCGAGGGAGGAACCGGCGGCCCGCCGGCCCAGGCGGAGCCUCGGCAAGUCCGCUCCGUUCACAGCGAGCAAAUGCGCUGCGGCCGGCGCUGGCGCGAUGGAGACGGCUCGGGAGAGGGCCGGCGGGGGCUGCGGUGCCGGCGCGGCCGUCGCGACUGACGGGGCGGCGGGGGCGGCCGCUGCCGGGAGCCGAGACGGGGGCGGGAGCCGCGAGGAGACGGCGGCGACGGCGGCGGCGGCGGGGGGAAGAUGCGAGAGACCGGAGCCGGGUCCCGCCGGCCCCCGGUAUCGCCUCGGCCCGGCCAGGAGGGCCCCCGCGGCGCCGCCCCCGGACGCGGACGGCGGUGACGGCGCCGAGCCCCCGGGCGCCGGCAGGAAGGCCACCAACAACCACGUCCUCGGCGGGGCCGCCGGCAGCCACGGCGCCGAGCCCAGGAUCUAUUCCGCUACCAACAGCCUCCCCCCGGGCGGGAGCGCCUCCCUCAGACUCAACCACUCCAAUCAUACGGGUUCCAAUCACGCCUACCUGAAAAACACCUACAAGAAGAAUCUCUCCGAGCCCGAGGAGGAGCUUCUCCAACAGUUCAAAAGAGAGGAGGUAUCCACCACUGGAGGCUUCAGUGCACAUUACCUGUCCAUGUUCCUCUUAACUGCUGCAUGCUUGUUCUUUCUCAUACUGGGAUUCACAUACCUGAGAAUGAGAGGUUCUGGAGUAGCUGAGGAUGUGGGAGCCAACAGUGAAGUGGGUCAACAUCUGUCUCCUGGCAGAAGUGCUGUGGAAAUUUUUGCAGUCAAGAAUCCCUUCAGUGGAGAACUACAAGACAUAGAAGAAGAUGAAAUAAGUCUCAUGAUGAACAGCUUAUAUGCACUUCAUGAUAAAUUGGCACAAGUAGCAGGGAAACAUGAAUGUGGCAGCUCUGUUCAAAGAAAUCUUACCGUCCAGGAGGCAGCUGCAUAUUUGAAAAAUAUAGAUCCAGAAUAUGAAAGUGUAUUUAAUACAGCACUACAAUGGAUAUUGAAUAGUGGGGAAGAUGUUGGCAUAAAGUGUCUUGGCAGUGAUCCUAAUGAUGUGGAUGUCACUAAUGUGACGGACGUGAAGUACCUGGAAUCCACUAGUCCAAAGAUGUCUUUCAGGUGUCGUUUUCGCCGUGCGUUUAUUAGUGUAACUCAUAGAUUAUCAAUACCGCUUUUAGGUGUAGCAAUUGUUUGGGGAGUCUUGCACUAUAUGAAAUAUCGUUGGGCAAAAGAAGAAGAGGAAACGAGGCAGAUGUAUGAUAUGGUCGUAAAAAUCAUAGAUGUUCUAAGAAGUCACAGUGAGGCAUGUUCUGAAAAUAAAGACUUGCAGCCUUAUAUGCCUAUUUUGCAUGUGCAUGAUUCUCUAAUACCAGCUCAGGACAGGAGGAAAAUGAGGAAAGUCUGGAGUAGAGCAGUUGACUUCCUAGCGGCAAAUGAAUCUAGAGUUCGCACAGAGACUCGAAGAAUAGGUGGUGCUGAGUUCUUGGUUUGGAAAUGGAUGCAACCAUCUGCUGCAUGUGACAAAGUUUUAGUAAUACCGUCAAAAGUGUGGCAAGGCCAAGGUCCGGGUCCAUGACUAGGCCACCCCAGAUCACCUUCUCCAGUAUGGUCUUGUGCCCCAGUGUACAAUAUGCUGGUGACAUUUCACCCUCCCUUGAUCUGCUGGAGCCAACCUACAUGAGUAAGAAGAACAGUGAUGUUGAUGCGUCUUGGACCAAGCACUGCUGCCCAGAAUUUGGAUUUGUAACAUCUGGAAUGUGGCGUCUUGAAUCUACAUAGUAGGGUUUGAAAAGGAGAAGCUUGGAACAUGAUUUUGUCUUGUUGAGAGUUUUCAUCCUUAAACUCUUGCAUCUACUCAUCUCCAAAUCUUCAAAGUGAAAAUUCUUUUGAGUGUUGGAAGUUGUUUUGCCAGUAUACACACAUCAUUGGCCCCUCGUGAUGUGGGACUGACUUAUCUGAAUCUAAAUCAUUAUUCCUUUUUUCAUGAUACAGUCUUCUGUUGUGACUCCCAAAUAGAGAAUUCAGGAACUUUAGAAGAAAGAUACUUAUUUUAGCAGUUCAUAUGAAUAUUUAAUGGGUCCACUCAUCUUUGAAAGAAUUGCUUGUUAUUUUUAAUUCCCAUUUUUUCUUGUAUCCGUUGUGUCUUUUGCUGCGUUUCAUUUCUUUUUUUCCCAAGUUUCUGAUUACAAGCCUAGAGUAUCUAGGCUACAAAAGCUCCAUCCUUGACAGUUGUUACUGCAACAUAGAUGUGUGUUUGACUGUUUGACUCUCCCUGUUUCUUAGUCAAAUGGACAACAGACUGCCCCCAGAGUGGAAAGGGAAGUUACUUUAUUAGGUAUUUGAAACUGAGUAUUAAUCUACAGCUCCAAAAACUUGAUCCAGAUUCUAAGAGCAUCUGUCUUUUCAGAAACACGAUACCAACACUUUAUUUUCAACUGUAUGAUAUUUUUAAAUGCCCUUAAUUCCUUUCAUUUACUAUGGAUUGAACAUGAGAGAAUGCAUUAUCUGUUUACAUCUAGAAGUUCUAUAUUAAAAAAACAAUAAUAAUAGUCAGUAGGUGUGAUACAUUUUCCUUAGUGCAGUAAAAGAUUGGGGAAACUUAGUUUGUGUGAAGCCUUUUCAUACGUGGAUGAAAGUAUUCUGUUUUUAAUGUAUGGAGUUGUUACCUAGGUAAUAUUGUGCAUGUCAAUAAAUACUAU